rnacentral:sRNA from 12 species
CGGAUCGACGGGUGUUUUGCUGUUUCGCCCGGUAUUGCCAACCGAAGGAGGACGGCGUCAGGAAGGCGAAGGUCCA